rnacentral:rRNA from 1 species
GAUGAACGCUGGCGGCGUGCCUAAUACAUGCAAGUCGAGCGAACAGAUGAGGAGCUUGCUCCUCUGACGUUAGCGGCGGACGGGUGAGUAACACGUGGAUAACCUACCUAUAAGACUGGGAUAACUUCGGGAAACCGGAGCUAAUACCGGAUAAUAUAUUGAACCGCAUGGUUCAAUAGUGAAAGACGGUUUUGCUGUCACUUAUAGAUGGAUCCGCGCCGCAUUAGCUAGUUGGUAAGGUAACGGCUUACCAAGGCAACGAUGCGUAGCCGACCUGAGAGGGUGGUCGGCCACACUGGAACUGAGACACGGUCCAGACUCCUACGGGAAGCAGCAGUAGGGAAUCUUCCGGAAUGGGCGAAAGCCUGACGGAGCAACGCCGCGUGGGGGAUGAAGGUCUUCGGAUCGGAAAACUCUGUUAUUAGGGAAGAACAAAUGUGUAAGUAACUAUGCACGUCUUGACGGUAACUAAACAGAAAGCCACGGCUAACUACGUG